rnacentral:rRNA from 1 species
CGGAACAUGUCCAGUAGUGGGGGAUAGCCCGGCGAAAGCCGGAUUAAUACCGCAUACGAUCUCUGGAUGAAAGCGGGGGACCUUCGGGCCUCGCGCUAUUGGGGUGGCCGAUGGCGGAUUAGCUAGUUGGUGGGGUAAAGGCUCACCAAGGCGACGAUCCGUAGCUGGUCUGAGAGGACGACCAGCCACACUGGGACUGAGACACGGCCCAGACUCCUACGGGAGGCAGCAGUGGGGAAUUUUGGACAAUGGGCGAAAGCCUGAUCCAGCAAUGCCGCGUGUGUGAAGAAGGCCUUCGGGUUGUAAAGCACUUUUGUCCGGAAAGAAAUCCUUUGGGUUAAUACCUCAGGGGGAUGACGGUACCGGAAGAAUAAGCACCGGCUAACUACGUGCCAGCAGCCGCGGUAAUACGUAGGGUGCGAGCGUUAAUCGGAAUUACUGGGCGUAAAGCGUGCGCAGGCGGUGAUGUAAGACCGAUGUGAAAUCCCCGGGCUUAACCUGGGAACUGCAUUGGUGACUGCAUCGCUGGAGUAUGGCAGAGGGGGGUAGAAUUCCACGUGUAGCAGUGAAAUGCGUAGAGAUGUGGAGGAAUACCGAUGGCGAAGGCAGCCCCCUGGGCCAAUACUGACGCUCAGCA